rnacentral:ncRNA from 1 species
AUAAAGUUUUAUUUUGGCUUGAAAAUUAAAUUUAAUUUUUAUUUAUAUAUAAAUUUUGGUGAGAUAGAUUUAAAAUUUUAAAUAAAUUUUAUACAUUAAAUAAUUAGUAGUAAAUAAUUUUAAUUAUUAAAGAAAUUUAGAAUUAGAAAUAAUUAAUUAAUAUUAACUAAAUUUGUGCCAGCAGUUGCGGUUAUACAAAUAAUAUAAUUUAAUUUUAUUAGUUUUAAUAAAUAUUUAUAUAUAUAUAUUAAUUUUAAAUUAGAGUUUAUUAGGUGAAAUUUUAAAUUUUAUAAUGAAUUAAUAUUUAAUUUAUGAGUUUGGGAAAUUUUAUGUUUAAACUAGGAUUAGAUACCCUAUUAUUUUUAAUGUAAAGGUUUUGACUAGAUUAGUAUUAGAUAUGUUCUUGAAAAUUAAAAGAUUUGGCGGUAUUUUAGUCUAUUCAGAGGAAUCUGUUCUAUAAUUGAUAAUCCACGAUUAAAUUUACUUAUUUUAUUUAAUUUGUAUAUCGUCGUAGGUUGAAUAUUUUUUAAGAAUAUUAAUGUUCAAAAUUUUAAAUUAGAAAGGAUAUCAGAUCAAGGUGCAGUUUAUAAAUAAGAAGAGAUGGAUUACAAUAAAUUUAUUUAAAUGGAUAAAGGUUUUAAAAAUUUUUGGAAAGUGGAUUUGAGGGUAAUUAUAUAUAUAUAUAUAUGAUGAUUUUAGCUCUAAAAUAUGUACAUAUCGCCCGUCGCUUUCAUUACAAAGUGAAAUAAGUCGUAACAAAGUAGGUCUACAGGAAUGUGGUCCUAGAAAGG